rnacentral:tRNA from 1 species
GGGGAUGUGGUGAAAUGGUAAACACAGUAGACUUAAAAUCUAUUGAUUUUUAAUCAUAAAGGUUCAACUCCUUUCUUCCCUA